ensembl:lncRNA
UGCAGAUGUAGAACAUGGAAUGUAAAGAGCAAAGAAGUAGAAGAAUACUGGGGAAAUGGCAGCAACAGAGGAUGAACCAGCAAGGUGGAGACCAAUUGGGAAACCAUCAGAAAGAAUAAUGAUUUCCUCAUGCUGAGAAGAAGUUCUUGAUGAACUUAAAACGAAUUCAUAUUGCAAGGAAAAGAUUUAAAAUUAAGUGCAUUGCAACAUAUCAAAUACUGAGGCAUUGUUGUGAUAGAGAUGGAAAAUAAAUAGAAACGACAGCAGCAGCCACAAAAUGGGAGCUGAUAAUACAGUAAUUGAAA